rnacentral:rRNA from 1 species
CCUACGGGUGGCAGCAGUGGGGAAUAUUGCACAAUGGGCGCAAGCCUGAUGCAGCCAUGCCGCGUGUGUGAAGAAGGCCUUCGGGUUGUAAAGCACUUUCAGCGGGGAGGAAGGCGUUAAGGUUAAUAACCUUGGCGAUUGACGUUACCCGCAGAAGAAGCACCGGCUAACUCCGUGCUAGCAGCCGCGGUAAUACGGAGGGUGCAAGCGUUAAUCGGAAUUACUGGGCGUAAAGCGCACGCAGGCGGUCUGUCAAGUCGGAUGUGAAAUCCCCGGGCUCAACCUGGGAACUGCACUCGAAACUGGCAGGCUAGAGUCUUGUAGAGGGGGGUAGAAUUCCAGGUGUAGCGGUGAAAUGCGUAGAGAUCUGGAGGAAUACCGGUGGCGAAGGCGGCCCCCUGAACAAAGACUGACGCUCAGGUGCGAAAGCGUGGGGAGCAAACAGGAUUAGAUACCCUAGUAGUC